rnacentral:rRNA from 1 species
CCUACGGGAGGCAGCAGUGGGGAAUAUUGGGCAAUGGAGGAAACUCUGACCCAGCGACGCCGCGUGCGGGAUGAAGGCCUUCGGGUUGUAAACCGCUUUCAGUAGGGAAGAAGCGAAAGUGACGGUACCUACAGAAGAAGCACCGGCUAACUAUGUGCCAGCAGCCGCGGUAAUACAUAGGGUGCAAGCGUUGUCCGGAAUUAUUGGGCGUAAAGAGCUCGUAGGUGGUUCGUCACGUCGGAUGUGAAAAUCUGGGGCUCAACCCCAGACCUGCAUUCGAUACGGGCGAUCUAGAGUGUGGUAGGGGAGACUGGAAUUCCUGGUGUAGCGGUGGAAUGCGCAGAUAUCAGGAGGAACACCAAUGGCGAAGGCAGGUCUCUGGGCCAUUACUGACACUGAGGAGCGAAAGCGUGGGGAGCGAACAGGAUUAGAUACCCUGGUAGUCCACGCCGUAAACGGUGGGCACUAGUUGUGGGAACCUUCCACGGUUUCUGCGACGCAGCUACGCAUAAGUAGCCCGCCGUCGGGAGGUACGAGUCGCGAAGAAUUAAACUAACAAAGAAGUAGUAGACGCGAGAGAGCGACGACGACGACGACGGAGGAGAG